GAGGUGGAGCUGCACCUGCCUUCACGGGAGAGACAGGCUGCAGGUACCCUCCAGCUGGCUGCUCACAAAAAUAGAAAAAAGAAAAAAAAAAAUGAGGGGAACUCGCCACACGCAUGAGGUAUGAGGGCUUGAGCAGCAGCAAAGACAACUGCAAUGGCUCACGGCUCACACGCAGUUUAAACCCAUGGUUCACUAUGACACUUAAAACCCCAGCUUUGAGGGUCCCCUUUGGGGGGACAUUUCUCAUCCUGAAGGCAGGCAGGUGAAGAAGAGGCUGCCGCCUUCCCUGCCUUUCCUGCGGGGACUGUGCCGCGAGGAGGCCUUGUAUUAACCUAUUCCGACUCACACAUGUAAAUGGAAGGAGACGAAGAGAAUCCUACCAGCCCGCACCUCCCGGGGUUUCCAGCCCUAGGGCGGUGGCUGCUGGCUCCCGCAGAGGGCCAUCUGGCCACCCUGCACCCGGCAGAGGACACGGCGGCUCCGAGGACUGGCCGGGGGACGGGGUCUGCAUGUGGGGGAGCCCCUGGCCCAGCUGCCACCUGUGGGGUGCCCACCGGCUGACAGGCUGUGUUGAGCCGCAUGCAGGGGAGGCAGCCAGUGGCACCCAGACCCAGGGCUGCUUGGCAGGUUGACGGCCGGGUCCUCACCAGGGAUGGAGAUGGCUUUGCAGGUGUAUCACCAGGGCUACCCUCCUCUCCCCAACCAGGGACACCGGGUGUCUUUGCAGGUCUCCCCAGGAGCACCUGGUGGGGUUCCUGGAUGGGAAGCCUGCCCACCAUACCCCAGGACUUCUCACUCACUGCCCCACAAUGGCCUGUGGCAGCUCCUCAGAGCCCCUCUGUGUCCCUGCCACUCACACUGCGGGGCUCCCCUCCGGGUGGGUCCCGGCUGGGCUGGUCUCCCCAAUCCCAUCUCCCACGUUUGUGGGGGCAGCUUGCCCUGCAACCUCAGCGCUCCGAGGGGCCUAAGAAGAGGCGCUGUUGUGUUGUGCAGCUGUUCCUCACCCCGAGCGUGUGGGCUGGGACCAGAAAGGUCUGCUCUCCGCCCCGUGCUGCGCCUUCUGGAUCUUAGACGUUUCCCCUCCUAUUUCCCCUCUGCCUACCGUUUCCUUUCUUAUGUUUCCUUUGGUUUUGGGCUCUUCCCUGCUAGCUAUUUAAGAAUGAAUGGGGCUCUGAGCCCAGGGUGUGCUGCCCACCCAGCUCUGCUGCUGGGAGGGGGUCUGAGAGGGAGGCAGGCAGGAGCGCUGAAGUAAAUGCUGAUGCAUUCAAGGGGAGUCCUCAGUACUGUGGGGGGCUUCACAGACCCUCUGGGAGCCCCUCCUCUUAUGAGGAGGGCCUUAAGCACCCUCAUAAGUUGGACAAAACAUGUCCUAACUCAAGUCUAUGCACAUAACGGCAAUGUCCUUGAUAUUCAGAUUCAAGGUCACCAUCAUAGACUUGUGUCUUAGAUUUAAUCAGUGCAAUAUUUGCUGAGUUGGGAAAGAAUUGGGUUUCCUUUAAAAGCAGUAAAAGUCAAGAAGAAAAAGCCAAGGAGAUUGGACAUCUAAAGGGGCAAGGUCCUCCCCUUACUUGGGAAAUUGUCUUCCGCUGCGCCCAAAGCGCCGAGGCCACGGAGCUGGGUUCCCUGCAGACAGGACAUCUCCACUGAUCUCAGCAGAGCUUCGUGCCCACCCAGGACUUGCCGGCUCCUCCUGGCAGCCGCUGCCGCAUGGCCAGCAUUGACCUUUGCCUGGUCAGGAGAGGCCUUCGUGACCCACUUGGCUCGGCUCGGAGGGGCCUUUUCCUUCUGGUCUUUUCCUUACUGUGGCGGCAGGCACGGGGCAGGUGCGUGACCACCGGAUGCCCACCUCUGGGGAGGCUCAUGGGUGUGGACUCAUCCUCGGAACCUCACCCAGGCCCUUGAGGGGAGCGGGGAGCUAACAGAUACCAACAGAAAGCGCAAGAGAACUUACGGAGUGUUUGCCUCAUGCCUUCAUGUGCCUGAUCUCGGUGACACAGAAAUGUGGUGUGCAAUGGGCACCAGGGAGGGGCCGGGCAGCUGUCGGGAAGCCUGCAGCCUGACCUCUUCAUCCCGUCCGACCCCCAGCUCUGUAAACAACUUGCCGUCCAUACGAACAUACCUGAGGUCUGCGCUUCUGCCCCGCCCUGCGGACCGGACCCUAUUCACGCAAGCAGGCUGUGUUGAAAGCCCCAAACUCACCUUCUCACAACACAAAACAGCCUUCCGUGGCCGGGAGCCACAGUCCAGCUCACUCGAGUCUAUCAGUCCUGGGGCGACUUCUUCAACCCCCAUCCAGCACGACGCCAGCUGUCCGUCUGGUGUCCCCCCGUGUCCUCUCCAGUCUUCCUAGGUCACUUUUCAUAUUUGCAAGAAAACAAUCCUGCAUGGCUGUGUGGGGACACCUGACAGGUGCGGAGGGGAGCAGGCCCUGCUCCACUGCAGGCAUCUUUCUAGGGCAGGAAGUGAUUUAAUCUCUGGUCUAUUAAAACAUUUCUAGUGCUGUCCCCAGCAUAUUGGGGAAAAUUUGGAAGCUGAAAUUACAAAAAAAAAUUUAAAAGCACCCAUGGCGGGCAACCAUUUCUAACUUAUUUGUAUUCCCUGAAGGCCUGAGCUUUUCUAUAAUGAAACUGUCACCUGGAAGUAGGGAAAAGCCACACAGGGCGGGGCUGGUUGUGGGGACACAGUGCAAGAAUCUGGGACAGGCCCGGAUCCCUCAACCAGCUGGUCAUGGGUUUAGGUCAUGGCCCUGCUGCCCAGUGGCUGAGGGGCCAUGGGAAGUUGUCUCAGCUUCCCUAUAGGUACAACAAGGCAAUGGUUCCUGCCACCAACGGUUAUUGAGGCAACCGUGUGACAUUAUGGUUCAUAGUAAGCCUCUAAUCAAUGACAACAUCCACUCUCCACCUUUCAAAAUCUAAAGGGUGCUUGCCACCCUUGGGCAUGAUGGAGGUAACCAGCGUUCACAGCCUCAGUGGGCACCUCCCUCAGGAUGCAGGGGCCACAUGACUGAGGGGACACAACCAUGCCUGCCAGGCCUUCUGGGGCAGUCCCCAUUCCCUGGUCACACACGCGUCCCGAGGACCCUCUGGAAAGUUGGGUCCAUGUGACUGUGGAUCUUGGAGGUGCUGUUCGGAAGCAUCUGGACCAUGGCCAGGCUGCCCAUCCGGCUGUCCUACUGUGCAGGUAGGAAAAUAGGAGAGACUCCCCCGAGCACCCCAAAGCCCCAGGCAGCCUUUCUCUCCACAGAGCACGUCUCCCUGCUGAGCACCUGCCCUGCCAGGCAGGCCCUGCAGCGUGCAGGUGUGCGGGCAGCUGGUCAGUGAGACCCAGCCCUGCCCUCCUGGUUCUUGUCCAGUGGGGGUGCAGGUGAGGAGGCGCCCCGGGAAAAAGGGCCCUGCAGGGUAGGAGGCUUCCUGGUCUCCUGUUGUCAUUGGUUAGAGGCGUACUAGAGGAGACACCCUUCUCUCCACUGGGCAGUAAACUGAUCAACGGGUUCCUUUCAUAAGGCAUGCGGUAAGCAUGAGUCUCCACCAGAUCUGUCGUUCCUGUUUCGGAUAAUAGGAGUGGCACCGGGCAAUGGCCUGUCAGCCUUCUGCCAGCGCGCUCUUCUUUCCAAACUGCUUCCUGGUGUGGAGCCGCACCCCCUCCUUUCCCAGGACUGGCUUGGAAGUUGACGAGACCCUCCAAGAACAGGAUGACCGCAGGCUCCCCCUGAGGGGCUGCGGCAAAGGGCCAGCUGGUGGCAGGCUCCCGUCAUGGAGACGGGUGCGAACACUGGAGCAUCACUGCAGGCCUCUGCAGCCCCCGCUGGAACGUUCACACGUGAUCUCCUGGGGAGGGAGCUGCUCCGGGGAUGGUGGCUCAUUGCCACCCUGCCCCAUGGGGGCCAUUGGCCAUCUGUGGAGGAAGGACCCUGGUCCUGCCUGCUGUUUCCAGCGUGGGGGUGUCUGGGUCCUGGUGCUGACAUACGUAAGCCAAGGCCGGAGGGAGCCAGCUUGGUGAUGCAACGUGGGCAGCAGGCUGGAGGGGGUAUAGAUCCCUACAAAGUUGAGUAUUAGAUACCCAAUAGGUACCUGGGGCUGAAAAUGGUCCUAACUGGGCCAGCUUCUUGUCCUCCACCGUUCACAAAUCCCAUAGAGGUGGCCACACUGACCCUGAGCCGGAAACCUGGGGUGCUAGAUUGCAAACAAUGGCAGUAAGCGGUUUCUACCCCACAUGCCUGCACCUUUGCAAAGUGACUUUGCUGCUCGUCCAGUCAGGCAGGGGGUUGAUUUCCACCCCUUGACCUUGUGACUUGCUUUGGCCAACUGGACAUCAGCAAGCAUGAUGUAAGAAGGCACUUCAAUGUCCUUGCACAUCGGGGUUUGCUGAUCUUUGGAGCCCUGAGACGACCAUGUGAAGAAGUCCAGGCUAGCAGAAUGGAGACCGACGGGCCCCCGGGGCAGGAACGAGCCUUCCCAGCCGAGGUCCUCAUCUUGAUCAUCCGGCCACCAGCCAACCGCUAACUGCAGGUGCAUGAGACCAGCUGAGCCUGUUAGGAGAACAGUCCAGCCGAGCCCACUCUGAACUGCUGACCUAGAGAAGGAUGAGCAAAUGAAAUGGUGGUGGUUUUCAGCCACUGGUUUGGGGUUGGUUUGUGAUGCAGUUAAAAACUGACUGACACAGAACCUGGAUGCGGAGUGGGGGGCUUCUGUCCACAAACCUAAAGCAUGUGGCCUUAGUUUUGGGACCAGGCCCUGGGAAUAAAUAGAAAGGUGGCAGGGAAUCGAUCAGCAAAAGCUGGAAAAAUGGCGAAUUGUUAGUGGGGUCUGGGAAGACAGUAAAAAAAUGCUAUAGCUGAGGGAAAAAUGGUAUUACACAAUCACUAGACAAUUGCCAAAAUGUUGUCUGUUGUAACUGAGAAGAUGGAAAAUACACGUGGUAAAUUUGUGGACCCAGCCAAGAAGAUUUCAAGGUAGCAUCUGAAAUUGUCAGGUGGCUUCUUUUAGCUCUGUGAGAGCCAGGAAGAGGCACAUGGGCUAAAAUGAGAGCCUCUCUGUUUGCAAGCAUAAUUUAGGGAAAACAGGCACCUGGAUUAAAAACUAUAAACAUUUCCCAUCUCAAAUCUCUCCACCUGGCAAAAGAUGAUAAUAGUAAGAAAUGGCCACAGGAUAAAGAUCACAUCAAACAGGCAGCUUAAGCUCCUUUGUCAAGACCUCAGAAAGAUUCCAGGCACUGGCUAGGACAUCCUCCCAGAUGGACGGGAGAGCUUCUAAGAAUCCCAACAGCGCUGUCCCGUGGGCCCUUCCCAUCCUGCCCAAAGCAGAGAGAGGCCCAUCUAGAGAACUGUGGGUGUGACUGCUGCUGAAUGGAAAGGACUAAACUCAGAUUCACAAGAAACCCACGCAGUUUUAAAGAGUUCUACUAGAAGCACCACAGUGUGAAACGCACAGGGCAUCCAGAGGCCCUGCUCUCUGAGCAGCACCAAGAGGGGGAACACCGGCGGCUGCCAGGGGCUGUUUCCCGUGGGCCCGCACGGACUCCUCGGGCUCCUCAGUGGCAGUGCGCUGCAGUCCGCCUACUCGGUGUGUUCUCACCCCCCGCCCCAUGUGCGCUCCCUCAGGUGGCCCCCACAUACGUUCCCCACAUCCAAGUCCUUCUCCCAGGGUCUGAUUUUGGAAAAACCAGACUAUGAUGCUGGGUGCCCUUAUUUCGUCCUUGACCUUAGUGGAAAGUCCUCUAGUGUUUUCCAGCUUGUAUGAUGCUGGGUAAUUUCUCCUUAGAGCAACCCUGCGCCUGGUGAGAGGAGAUGUGCAGGGAAAAGCUGAGGAGUCCUUUGAGGGUCCUGGCCAGUGAGGAAGUUGGGUAGGACACAGCACUGGUGCCCUCGGGCCGUGGUGUCUAAUUCAGUGCUUAAAAAUUGUUGCCUAUACAGUAGUGCCACCUCCUGCCAUUUCCCUAAACUUUCAAUAAAAGUCUGCUUUCCAUGAAAAAAAGCAUGAUGCUGGAAGACAGGUAUGCAGCAUCCAACUGUUCUCUUAUCAAGUUUUUUUUUUAAGGAUUAGUUGUUAAAUUCUGUCAAGUUCUGCUUUAAGAACAUCACAAUUUAUUGGUUGUUGUCCUGAUGGACUAUUAUGCAUGUUCUUGUGCAUGAGUGCCAGGAAACUUGUCCAUGCAUUUUAGGGGGCAUAUAUGGUGGGCAUCUUUGCACUGUUACGAGACACCACCAGUUUUCCAAAGGGGUUCUACCAUCAGGUUCCCCCCAGCAGUGCCUGUGGGGCUGAGCUCACCCACACUGUUGUCAACAUUGCUAUUGUUAGUUUUUCUUACUUUCAGUCAUUAACCGGAUGUGAGGUGUAUUUCAUUAUAUAUUUAAUUUUCAUUUCCAUGACUACCAAAGAUGCUGAGUGUUUUUUCCCAUGGUUAGUGGUCACUGGAUACACUCUUUGGUGAAGUUCCUGUCCAAGUCUCUUGUGUGUUUUUUUCAUGGUGUUAACUAUCUUUUUCUUAUUAACAGAUUAAAAAAUAGUAAUCUGGAAAUGACUAUUUUUUGGUUACAUACAUUGCAACUAUAUCCUGCUCUCUAGCUUGCCUUUCAUCCUUUGCAGGGCAACUUUUGAUGAAGAGAAGCUCUCAGUUUUAAGGUAGCUAAAGUUUCCAACAUUUUCCUUUAUGGUUAACUUUUUUUCCUUUGCCCACUCUGAGGUUAAAAAAAAUUUUUUUUUAAUGUUAUCUUUUAAAAUCUUUAUAUUUUUGCUUUUCACAUUUAGUUCUACAAUCCACAUGGGAUUGAUAUCUUGCAUAGUGUAACUCUAAAAAAUACGAACAUUUAUUUUGCCCAGAAUCAUUAAUUGAAAUAAUUCCCUCAUCAAUGCUCUGCAGUGCCACCUUCGUCAUAAAUCAGGUGUCCAUUUACGGGAACAUUUGUUCUGUACUCCCAGAAACAAAUUUGCCCGACCACACUGUCUUACUUUCUUGAUUACUGUCUUAUUAAUUCAGCAGUUGGUGGACAUUCUAAUUUGGGGCAAUUAUGUCUUAUUAAUUCAGCAGUUGGAUAUACCAGUUAGUUUUUCAUUCACCAGCGGUUGGGCAUUUGGGUUGUUUUCAGUUUUAGGCUAUUAUAAAUAAGGCUGCUAUAAAUAGUGUACAAGUCUUUGUAUGGAAAUAUGUAUUUCUUUUUCUCAGGUAGAUAUCAAGGAAUGGAAUCAUUGGGUUGUACGGUAGGUUUAUGCAAAAUUGCCGAAUUGUUUUCUGAAGUGGCUGAACCAUUCUGCAUUCCUGCCAGCGAUGAGUGAGUCCCAGUCUCCACAUCCUUCUCUGUUCU